GAAGAACUUGAGAAUCCACCAGCACCUCGCAGAAAGAGAGUUGUCCUAUUCAUGCAUAAUAAUUGUCCAGACUUUUUGUCAUAACUUGUUGUUGCAAUCUCAAGAAUAGCUGCUUUUCCUUUGUCAUGCAACCCAGCAAGUGAAACUUUAUUCUCCAAAUAUCCGCUUGAUGGCAGUGGCUUGUACAAUUCAAUGUAUUGCUGACCAUGAAGUAAGAGCUUUGGGUCAUACGACAGUCCAGGCAAGCUCAGACCCGUCUUCAUAGUUUCAUGGAUAAAUAGAGCAGA
rnacentral:misc_RNA from 1 species